GAGUCUUUAUUGCAGUACGUGUAAGAACUGACUUUCAGUCCUACGGAAAUGCACAGUGUUAGUCUAAUGUUUAAUGCAGUGCAUUACUUGAUCAGUGUCAAAU